GUGGGGAAUAUUGGACAAUGGGCGAAAGCCUGAUCCAGCCAUGCCGCGUGUGUGAAGAAGGUCUUCGGAUUGUAAAGCACUUUAAGUUGGGAGGAAGGGCAGUAAGUUAAUACCUUGCUGUUUUGACGUUACCGACAGAAUAAGCACCGGCUAACUCUGUGCCAGCAGCCGCGGUAAUACAGAGGGUGCAAGCGUUAAUCGGAAUUACUGGGCGUAAAGCGCGCGUAGGUGGUUUUGUAAGUUGGAGGUGAAAUCCCCGGGCUCAACCUGGGAACUGCCUCCAAAACUGCAUGACUAGAGUACGGUAGAGGGUAGUGGAAUUUCCUGUGUAGCGGUGAAAUGCGUAGAUAUAGGAAGGAACACCAGUGGCGAAGGCGACUACCUGGACUGAUACUGACACUGAGGUGCGAAAGCGUGGGGAGCAAACAGGAUUAGAAACCCGAGUAGUCC
rnacentral:rRNA from 1 species